rnacentral:lncRNA from 1 species
CUCAGGAUUGAUCACUAAAGAAUGAAUUUCAUCUCGGUUCAUUUCAUCUGUCUGAAAGCUAGGUAUCAAGAAGCCACUGUAGUGAAAACAAAGAAAUGUACACACAUCCAAUGGACCAUCCUCCUUCCGUGUUCACAAUAUCAUCUAGUCUAUCAGUCUGCUGAUUCAGAGACACGUAUAACCUUCUCUGAAGAAAGGUACCUCAAAUGAGGUACCUGUACUAGUCUGGCUGGGAUGGAGUUAACUUUCUCCAUACAACCUUGUACGGUGUUGUGUUUUGGGUUUGUGGCUUAAGAAGUUUUGAUAACACACCAUUGUUUUGGCUAUUGCUGAACAGUGCUUGCACAGCAUCAAAUCUUUUCCUUUUUCCCACCCUGUUCCCAGUCCUUGCUAGGAGGUCAACUUGUUUGGAGGUCAACAAGAGACUGGGAGGAGGGACAGAUAGGACAGCUGUCCUGAAUUGUCCGAAGGGAUAUUGCCUGCCAUAUAAUGUCAUGCUUAGCAAUAAAAAGUGGGGUAGAGGAGGAAGAAGGAGGUUUGGGGCUUCAAAGGUGGCCAGUGCCAUCAGAGACUGGAUGGGCACUGGUCUGCUUGUGAGAGAUGGGUAGGGGUGAGUGAGUGGCUGUGUGGAUUAUUGCAUACUGGAGGAUAUCAACCCACCACAGUAGCAGUUGUUCUCUGUUCCUAAACAACAUAUGAAAGAAGAAACGAGCCAAAUGUAAGCCACAUAAAUUGGAAGUAAAACAACACAAAAAUGCUAACUUCUGAGGAAAUAAUAGAGAAAUGAGUGUUAAAUUACCUACAUCGACUGGAUGUUCUGGCAGAGCACCUCAAUAAUGUUUUGCUGAUUCUCAUGACCUCUGUAUCCGAUGAUGCUUUGCCUAUCCAUUCCACAUGCAAAGAAGAGAUUCUUGUCCAAAGUCAUAUCUAUGAAGCUGUAUUUAAUGUGCUCCUGAGCAAUCCAUCUGAGUGCUGUGCCUGUGGCAAUAUCACAGGAAAUGCCAAUGCACAGCACGGAAAAUGUCAGCUUUCUACGAGACAAGCAAAGAAAUGCUAUUCCUUUAUGCUAUAAUAUGAUGCCUCAUGCAGUUUUCUUGGAGACAAAAAGCCCAAAGAGAGCAGGAAGGAGGAAGAGGAGGAUUCCAGGCCCUGAGAGCAGCCAGGCAGAGCGGCGUGUCCCUGGCACAGGAGGAGUGGAGGACAUGCGUUCCUCUGGGAUUAUGCAGAGCUGCUGGAAGUGAAGCUUGAAAACCGGCAGAACGGAAGCUUGGAAACUGAGCCCUGGACUGAAGCUGGUAAUUUACCUUAUUUGAAAUAAAAACAGCUUAAGUUGAAGCCA